UACGUAGGGAGCGAGCGUUAUCCGGAUUUAUUGGGUGUAAAGGGUGCGUAGACGGAAAUGCAAGUUAGUUGUGAAAUACCUCGGCUUAACUGAGGAACUGCAACUAAAACUAUAUUUCUUGAGUAUCGGAGGGGUUUGUGGAAUUCCUAGUGUAGCGGUGAAAUGCGUAGAUAUUAGGAAGAACACCGGUGGCGAAGGCGACAAACUGGACGAUAACUGACGUUGAGGCACGAAAGUGUGGGGAGCAAACAGG
rnacentral:rRNA from 2 species